GGGGAAUAUUGGACAAUGGGCGCAAGCCUGAUCCAGCCAUGCCGCGUGAGUGAUGAAGGCCUUAGGGUUGUAAAGCUCUUUUGCCGGGGACGAUAAUGACGGUACCCGGAGAAUAAGUCCCGGCUAACUUCGUGCCAGCAGCCGCGGUAAUACGAAGGGGACUAGCGUUGUUCGGAAUCACUGGGCGUAAAGCGCACGUAGGCGGAUCAUUUAGUCAGGGGUGAAAUCCCGGGGCUCAACCUCGGAACUGCCUUUGAUACUGAUGGUCUCGAGUCCGAUAGAGGUGGGUAGAAUUCCUAGUGUAGAGGUGAAAUUCGUAGAUAUUAGGAAGAAUACCGGUGGCGAAGGCGGCCCACUGGAUCGGUACUGACGCUGAGGUGCGAAAGCGUGGGGAGCAAAC
rnacentral:rRNA from 1 species